AAAAAAGGAAAAAGUGCUUUAACCUGCAUUUUUUCUUACACAUGUGUUUUUCUUUUUUUGAAAACUUUGCUUUGGUAGGCCUUCUAUAUGGGGCCUGCCAGAGAUUAAACUCAACCAAAUUUUAUUUAAUGUCAACCGAUUAUUUAAUAGUCAAAACUUUCAACAACGGAUCUCUUGGUUCUCGCAUCGAUGAAGAACGCAGCGAAAUGCGAUAAGUAAUAUGAAUUGCAGAUAUUCGUGAAUCAUCGAAUCUUUGAACGCACAUUGCGCCCUUUGGUAUUCCAAAGGGCAUGCCUGUUUGAGCGUCAUUUCUCCCUCAAACCCUCGGGUUUGGUGUUGAGCGAUACGCUGGGUUUGCUUGAAAGAAAGGCGGAGUAUAAACUAAUGGAUAGGUUUUUUCCACUCAUUGGUACAAACUCCAAAACUUCUUCCAAAUUCAACCUCAAAUCAGGUAGGACUACCCGCUGAACUUAAGCAUAUCAAUAAAGCGGAGGAAAAC
rnacentral:rRNA from 1 species